AUUGUGGAUGGUAAUCAAGUACUUGUGAAGAUGUAUCACAAAAGCACACACCAAGAUUCAAAAGACCGAAUCAUCAACGAAUUCAAGACAGAAAAUAGUCGUAUCAGGUGCAUUAUUGCUACCGUGGCGCUAGGAAUGGGUUUGGAUAUUUCAGACAUAGACUUAGUUGUCCAUAGUGGCUGUCCAAAAACAGUUCUUUCCUAUUAGCAGGAGGCGGGUCGUUGUGCUAGGGAUGGUCGACAGGGAUAUAGUUUGAUCUUAUAUGACAACUUUACAUUUGCCCUCAAGACAACAGACAAAGAUAUUGCUGAUAUUGUAAAAA
rnacentral:lncRNA from 1 species